rnacentral:rRNA from 1 species
GAUGAACGCUAGCGGCAGGCUUAACACAUGCAAGUCGAGGGGCAGCGGGGAGUAGCAAUACUCUGCCGGCGACCGGCGCAAGGGUGCGUAACGCGUGAGCAACAUGCCCAUAACAGGAGGAUAACCCGGAGAAAUCCGGACUAAUAUUCCAUAGUAAGUAGAUAUCGCAUGGUAUUUACUUUAAAGCUUCGGUGGUUAUGGAUUGGCUCGCGUAACAUUAGUUAGUUGGUAGGGUAACGGCCUACCAAGACGAUGAUGUUUAGGGGUUCUGAGAGGAAGAUCCCCCACACCGGAACUGAGACACGGUCCGGACUCCUACGGGAGGCAGCAGUGAGGAAUAUUGGACAAUGGUCGGAAGACUGAUCCAGCCAUGCCGCGUGCAGGAAGACGGUUCUAUGGAUUGUAAACUGCUUUUGUAGGAGAGCAAUAAGGUCUACGCGUAGACUGAUGAGAGUAUUCUACGAAUAAGCAUCGGCUAACUCCGUGCCAGCAGCCGCGGUAAUACGGAGGAUGCAAGCGUUAUCCGGAUUCAUUGGGUUUAAAGGGUGCGUAGGCGGUUCGGUAAGUCAGUGGUGAAAGUUUGCAGCUUAACUGUAAAAUUGCCAUUGAUACUGUCGAGCUAGAAAGUAGAUGAAGUGGGUGGAAUGUGUGGUGUAGCGGUGAAAUGCAUAGAUAUCACACAGAAUAUCGAUAGCGAAGGCAGCUCACUAAACUAUAUUUGACGCUGAGGCACGAAAGUGUGGGGAUCAAACAGGAUUAGAUACCCUGGUAGUCCACACUGUAAACGAUGAUAACUAGCUGUUUGCGAUAUACCGUAAGUGGCUAAGCGAAAGCGAUAAGUUAUCCACCUGGGGAGUACGCCGGCAACGGUGAAACUCAAAGGAAUUGACGGGGGCCCGCACAAGCGGAGGAACAUGUGGUUUAAUUCGAUGAUACGCGAGGAACCUUACCCGGGCUUGAAAUGCAGAUGAAUAAUUAUGAAAGUAGUUAGCCAGCAAUGGCAUCUGUGUAGGUGCUGCAUGGUUGUCGUCAGCUCGUGCCGUGAGGUGUCGGCUUAAGUGCCAUAACGAGCGCAACCCCUAUCGAUAGUUACUAACAGGUCAAGCUGAGGACUCUAUUGAGACUGCCACCGUAAGGUGCGAGGAAGGUGGGGAUGACGUCAAAUCAGCACGGCCCUUACGUCCGGGGCGACACACGUGUUACAAUGGGAGGUACAGAGGGCAGCUACCACGCGAGUGGAUGCGAAUCUUUCGAAAGCCUCUCUCAGUUCGGAUCGGAGUCUGCAACUCGACUCCGUGAAGCUGGAUUCGCUAGUAAUCGCGCAUCAGCCAUGGCGCGGUGAAUACGUUCCCGGGCCUUGUACACACCGCCCGUCAAGCCAUGGGAGCUUGGGGUACCUAAAGUACGUAACCGCAAGGAGCGUCCUAGGGUAAAACAAGUGACUGGGGCU